rfam:Aspergillus niger supercontig An11
GCGGUUUUUGGGGAUGUUCUUUGUCCGCUUUGAAAUGCCCCCCAAUGUUUCGCUACUGCGGGGAGGAAACAAAAACCUGUC